GGCUUUGCACAGUGGCAGUAUCAUAGCCAAUGAAGUUUAUCCAAGGCACGAUUAUUGCUAAUUGAAAAGUGAAUUAGAGGGGGGAAAAAAAGUGAAUUAGAGGGGCUGGGGAUUUAGCUCAGCAACACAGCACCUGCCUGGCAAGCUUGAGGUCCUGAAUUCGAUCCCUGGUACCAAAAAAAAAGUGAAUUAGAGGAUAUUUGUCCUUAAG
ensembl:snRNA U4 U4 spliceosomal RNA